UACGAACUGUGCAAACGUUAUUCGGAAUCACUGGGCUUAAAGGGUGCGUAGGCGGCUUGUUAAGUAUGGUUUGAAAUCCCCCGGCUCAACCGGGGAAUUGCGCCCUAAACUGGCGAGCUGGAGUGAGAUAGGGGUGUGUGGAACUUCCAGUGGAGCGGUGAAAUGUGUUGAUAUUGGAAGGAACGCCAGUGGCGAAAGCGACACACUGGGUCUCAACUGACGCUGAGGCACGAAAGCCAGGGGAGCAAACGGG
rnacentral:rRNA from 1 species